GUCCACGCAGUAAACGAUGCAUACCAGGUGUGGGAUGGCGUUCGCGUCGUUCCGUGCCGCAGCUUACGCGAUGAGUAUGCCGCCUGGGGACUACGAGCGCAAGCUUAAAACUCAAAGGAAUUGACGGGGGCCCGCACAAGCAGCGGAGCGUGUGGUUUAAUUCGACGCAACGCGAAGAACCUUACCUAGUCUUGACAUAGCACUGCAAACUUCGGAAAUGAAGUCGCCUUCGAGGGUGUGCUACAGGUGCUGCAUGGCUGUCGU
rnacentral:rRNA from 1 species